GGAGGCCCGUGAGCUGGCCAGGCAUCAGCUGACUGGGGCCGGUGAGUCCGCUGGCAGCUGCACUCGGUGCUGUGGUUUGAAGCAGGCUGUAUCUCUGUGUGCUGUGUCAAGCUGUUACAGAUAAGGGGUAGCAGGCUUUAUUUCUUUUUAUUUUGCCUGGGUGACGGUGCUUAUGUUUUCUGGAAUGACCUGAUUGUCCCCCAAACACUUGUCAAGCUGUGGCAGGUGCAGUGAGCUGUCCAGAGGUGGGUGGGCUGCCUUCUGGUGCCCCCCCACCCCCACCCCCCCAGCAUUAGCCAGCCGUCUCCCGUGACUUCUGCUGUGGGAAGAUGCAGUCGGGCUUGUCCCCGUGCUUGAUGCACAAUCCAGUUCCCGAGACUGAGCAGCUGGCAUCUGUUCAUGCAUGCGUUGCCUCUGAAGCGGGUGAAAAAGUAGAAUGUGGUUUCCGAUAGGCGAGCGGUUUCCCAGAAUUUUCUUGGUCGGUGGUGUUUGGUUUUGUCCUGCCCACUUCAUGUAAGGAGUAUCGGUGGGAGAUCCGCCACCAGGAGCCCGGAGAUGGCUACUGGGCUAUACAGUCUUUGUUUAGCCACACGACUAUGGCGUGCCCGCUCUGUGCCGAGCCCCUUGGAGGU